rnacentral:lncRNA from 1 species
ACAAUCAGUCAUCAGAAAAAGCAGAGUGGAAGUCAACAAAAAGAGUUUUUAUAUUAUGCAUGAUGUGCCUUUUAGUUUUGUGGAAAUUGCGCUGUGGGCCACCACAUCAAAGCCACGUAUUCUCUUUGCUUUACUCUCUAUAUAAUAAAUAAAAAUAAAUAAAAAUAAAUAAAAUAACAGAAGCAAGACGACUUCCUAGUCAAUAACCAAUAAAUCACAGCCACGUGGAUAACAAAGAUAAACACGAAGCACCAAUUAUGACGUGCCGAGAAAUAAUAAGCGCAGCAGUAAAUGCUUCUAUUGUCGUUCACACGCACCUGAUAUCUCCCCAUGUGCCUUAAAUUCAGCAGAAACGACGUGUCACUCGCCCGACUCUCCGUCAACAAAAGCUCUAAAAUACACAAACAAAAACAGUCAAACCUUAACAUUAAACCCCCUGCGCGAAAACCUCACUGGAGGCACCCAACCUUCCCCUCACCACCAUCAUCAUGAUCAGCUUACCCCCCGCAUAUCCUCCAAUCAGCCCGACCACAGCUUACGACAUCACGUCGUCGUCGUCGUCGUCGUCGUCGUCGUCGUCAACAUCACCACCGUCGAAUAAUAAUAACAAUAAUAAUAAUACCAAACCUCCAGUUGACUUCAGCCCGCCGUUGAUCGCCAUGGUAGUUGUGGUUGCCACCGCGUUUCUAGUCGUCACAUAC